rnacentral:rRNA from 1 species
AUUGAACGCUGGCGGCAUGCCUUACACAUGCAAGUCGAACGGCAGCGGGGACUUCGGUCCGCCGGCGAGUGGCGAACGGGUGAGUAAAGUAUCGGAACGUACCUUUCAGUGGGGGAUAACGUAGCGAAAGUUACGCUAAUACCGCAUAUUCUGUGAGCAGGAAAGCAGGGGAUCGCAAGACCUUGCGCUGAUUGAGCGGCCGAUAUCAGAUUAGCUAGUUGGUGAGGUAAAGGCUCACCAAGGCGACGAUCUGUAGCGGGUCUGAGAGGAUGAUCCGCCACACUGGAACUGGGACACGGUCCAGACUCCUACGGGAGGCAGCAGCGGGGAAUUUUGGACAAUGGGGGCAACCCUGAUCCAGCCAUGCCGCGUGAGUGAAGAAGGCCUUCGGGUUGUAAAGCUCUUUCGGCCGGGAGGAAAUCGCACAGGUUAAUACCCUGUGUGGAUGACAGUACCGGAAUAAGAAGCACCGGCUAACUACGCGCCAGCCGCCGCGGUAAAAC